rnacentral:rRNA from 1 species
UUGAACCAGAGGUGUCCGAAUGGGACUUCCCUUUAAAAUCCGAAAGGAUGGGGGACGCAGGGAAUUGAAACAUCUUAGUACCUGCAGGAAAAGAAACCAACAGGGAUGCUGUUAGUAAGGGCGACUGAAAGCAGCACAAGGCAAACCGAAUCUGCUGCAGAAAUGCAGUAGGCAUGUGGUGUUUGGACCGCAACAUGGGGCCUCGUGAGUGAUCUGAAGUCUUCUGGAAAGAAGCACCGCAGAGGGUGAUAGUCCCGUAAGAAAAGCUCAAAGGUUCCUAGCGAGUUCCAGAGUAGCGCCUCUUGGAUAUGAGGUGUGAAUGUGGGAGACAUCAACUUCCAACCUUAAAUACGUUUUGAGACCGAUAGCGAAGUAGUACCGUGAGGGAAAGCUGAAAAGAACCCUUGAUAGGGAGUGAAAAGACCCUGAAACCUAACAGUUACAGUGAGGUACUGCUCGAAAGAGUUGUGCCGUGCGUUUCGAAUAACGUGCCAGGGAGUUUAGAUCUGUGGCAAGAUUAACCUGAAAAGGGGUAAUCAUAGGGAAACCAACAAACUCGCAGUUUUACGAGGAGUGGGGUGUGAAAGCGCCUAAAGUCACAGGUCUAUGACCCGAAACCGGACGAUCUAACCCAGGGUAGGGUGAAGCGGAGGUAAAACUUCGUGGAGGCCCGAAGAGGUUCUACGGGCAAGUGUUCUUCUAACCUUGGGCUAGGGGUGAAAAGCCAAUCGAGUUCGGUGAUAGCUGGUUCCUGCCGAAGUUGGCCGAAGUCAAGUCUCAGACGAGACAGCUAGAAUGGUAGAGAUACGGAUUGGGGGUUUAGGCCUGGAAACAGGUCGGCUCCUCGUCCAACUCCGAAUAUUCUAGCGUUGUAGACUCUGAGAAACGGGGGCUCGGGGUAAGCUUGAGUUCCGAGAGGGGAACAACCCAGACUGCAGUUAAGGCCUCUAAGUGCUGAUUAAGUGUUAAAGGGUGAACAGUGUUUACAGCCAUAGACAGCGAGGAGGUUGGCUUAGAAGCAGCCAUCCUAUAAUAAGUGCGUAUACUUGGCUACGUUUCUUUAAGAAAUGGAGCCUUGCUCGCAAGACAGCUUACUUGUCAAGGUUGUAAGCCUGGAAGAUGGACGAGGCUAAAUCAGCCGCCGAUACUGCAGACAACCGAAAGGUUAGUGGUAGGCAGGCGUUCUGGAAGAGCAGAAGCAUCUCUGAGAAGAGGUGUGGAUCUUUCAGAAAUGAAAAUCCUGGUGAGAGUAAGAGCAGAGUAGUGUGAGAAUCACUACCACCAAAAGGGCAAGGGUUCCUUGACAAUGAAGUUCAGUCAAGGGUAAGUCGAUCCUAACCAAGCUCGUAAUGGGAGCAAAGGGAAAGGGAAGCAGGUUAAUAUUCCUGCACUAUUCAAAUAUACGCGGCGACGCAAGUCGUGCUUCCGACGCUUCCGGAUAGGCUAACACAAACCAUCGUUUGUGUCAACUGUGAUAAAUCAGGGGAGUAUUGUAAUGAUGAGAACCUGAUUAAACGCAGGAUGAGUAUGGCGUAUGCUGUAUUUAGCUGAUUCCAGGAGCCCGUGAAAAGGGAGCACGAAAAGAUUUUGAAUAAUCGUACCCAGAACCAGUACAGGUGCCCCUAGGUGAGAAGCCUAAGGUGUGAGGGAUUAAUCUAAUUGAGGGAAUUCGGCAAAUUGGCCCCGUACCUUCGGAAUAAGGGGUCCCUGCGGUAGUUGUUGCAUGACAGCCAUUGCAGGGCUCAGUGACUAGGGGGGUCCGACUGUUUAACAAAAACUUAACUUCCUGCUAGCCCGCGAGGGUGUGUAUAGGAGGUGAAGCCUGCCCAGUGUCAGUACUUAAAACUCCAUUCCAAUGGAGCUAAGAGCUGACAAACGGCGGGGGUAACUAUAACUCUCUUAAGGUAGCGUAAUACCUUGUCGUUUGAAUGACGACUUGCACGAAUGGCGUAACGAGAUCCCCACUGUCCCCAAUUAGAAUCCCCUGAAAACUCCUUUCCGGUGCAAAGGCCGGAGAUCUCCAGUGGGAAGCGAAGACCCCGUGAAACUUUACUGUAGCCUGUAGUUGCGAUGUGAGGCUUGGUGUGCAGUGUAAGUGGGAGCUGCUAAGUCACAGUCGUCAGGUUGUGAAUAGGCGUCGAUGAGACACCACUCUCCAAAUCUUAUGUCGCUAACUCUCAACGAGAGGACAUCUAUAGGUGGACAGUUUGGCUGGGGUGGCACCCUGCUGAAACGAUUUUGGGAGCUUGCUAAAGCAGUCAAAAACAGAUUCAAGCAAACUCUGGCGUUAUAUCAGCAGGGCCCAAAGGUUGGCUCACCCGAUUCAGAAACAUUUGGCGAAGGCAAAUAUGCCAGCGCCAAAGCUGAGCAUUCGGGGUAGAGUGCAAGAGCAAAAGCCAGCCUGAUUGGGUUUCUAAUAAGAUGAAAUCCAAACGCGAAAGCGUGGUCUAGCGAACUCCUAAACCUCCUUGAUGGGGGUUAGGAAUGACCGAAAAGUUACUCCGGGGAUAACAGAGUUGUCGCGCCCAAGAGCUCAAAAGCUUUUGUCAAGGCUUACUUGGCGAAAGUGUGGGUUGAUCGACGGCGCGGCUUGCUACAUCGAUGUCGGCUCUUCCUAUCCUGGCCGUGCAGAAAUCUGCCCAGCUCACUUUUUGAGGGGUGAACUGGGUUUGAUUGUAUGCGGCCAAGGGUGGGGGUGUUCACCCAUUAAAAGGGAUCGUGAGCUGGGUUCAGAACGCUGUGAGGCAGUUUGUUUGAUAUCUACUGGAGAUGUUCAGUGUCUGAGGGGAAGGGCCUUCUAGUACGAGAGGAACGAAGGCUCGAGGCCACUGGUCUACCGGUUAUCCGAUAGGGUACGCCGGGCAGCUACGCCUUAAGGGAUAAGUGCUGAAAGCAUCUAAGCACGAAACCCUCCUCGAAAAGAGACACAGGAACUCCCAUAAAAGAUGGGUUUGAU